UUAUCUUUUUGGGGUGCAUGUGGGCUCCUUCGACCUUCGUUUUCGAUUCCGUUUGCGGCAACGGUUUCGUAUCGACGCGAGGAACACUCUGGAGUUGUCAAAAGUUGAUUUCGAACAAAUUGAUUUCUGGACAGCGUGAACUAGAGCUCUGAUACCAAUUGUUGUGCACUUCGGCCUGUCCAAAAUCACACAAGAUAAUAUUUAAGUGGUUCAGCAAAUUGCCUAUGUCUACUGAAGCCUAUUUUACUGAAUUUCUACGAGAUAACAAAAAACUCUACAAAUUUCUCUCUCUCUCACAUCCUUCUUUUCUAUCGAUUUUCCCACUCACAUUCUGCACAACUGAGCUCUCCUAUUUAUAGGAGAGAGCAAACUAUAAUAGCCUACAGGUUCUGAUUUCAGUGCAGCAAAUUUGUUGCAGAGAUUGGGUGGCUGCAGAGUCUUGGUUGGUGCCUAAUACAACAAAACAACGAACGGUGUAGGGCUGGUUUCACAUUGCAGGUAGGCCUGUGCAUAAAAAGUAGUGGGCCGAUCCGUCUGCAAUAACACGCUUGAGCCCAACCGACAAAAGUCGGGUUAUUCGGAUCCACGUCAUUUGCGGGUUGAACCCGGUUGAUUAUCGGUCGAAACUGAUACCGUCCAUGCGUUUUGAUCCUUGAACCAAGGCAGAGUCCCGACUCCCUCUCCCUCUUCCCUUCGUUUCACAAGCCCUAGCCAGUGCACCACUCCGUUCGUCGUCGCCGUUCGCCGUCACUGUUGGGAAUCGCCGUUCGUCGUUGCCAUUUGUCUUCACCGUUCGUCUUCACCGUUCAAGCCAAGUAGUCCCUCUAUUUAUCGUAUUUCUCCCAAAUCUUUGUGAUUUUGUGCUGAGUUUUGCUUAGAGGAUCACGAUGCUUGUAUUUCUCUUCAAGAUGAGGGUUUGGUUGAAGUGGGUUUUGAUUUUGUGCUGAGUUUUGGUUGAAACGAUAUCUGGGUUAGAUCUAUAGUUUUGCACCUCAUUGGCUGAAUUUCCAAAAUACAAAAACAAAUCUUAGGCACUGUUAUUUAGUAUGUUUUCCAGACAAAACUAAACAGCAAUUAGCCACCCAGGCCUAACGGUAUGAAGUAAUUCCUCCCAGAGGUUCUGUGUAUGGAAAUUUUUGAGAUUUCGGUGCAUAGUAUUGGAGUUUAUUUUGCAGGGAUGGAUCUCGAGGCAAUGCCUUGAAAAGAUUUCGGACAUUAAAAAUAAAAUUAAAAAAGGGAUAAUUGCUCCUAUCACAUCUCUUUUAACUGCCUCGGCCAAUAAUUGCACAAUUACUGCCCUGCCACCGCUAUGUUGCAUAGUUCACUGUAAGGAUCCAGCAAGCAAACUUCUGUUUUGCUUGUAUGUGUACACUAGUCUCAGUCCCUGAAAUCCAGCUCAAGCCCUUGUUUCCUAGCUUAUGCCAAUGACCUACACCUGUCCAUGCCGAACUCUUGAUUCGUAUGCAUGAAUGGAGAGUUUAUUGUAUGACAUUAUCCACCCCAUUCACCAAAUCAAAUCCCAUGUCUUAAUAAAUCCCUACUCUGCUUUUGAUUCGAUCAAGUUAUUCUUAUAUCUCGUUGAACUUCGUCGUGGUUACAUUCACCUUGCUUUCCAAAGUUCCCAUCAUAGAAUAUUGAUGGAGAGUUUAAUAUAUGACAUAAUCCCUCGUGUAUGAAACAAAGUGUAUGAUCAAUUUGUUUCAUACACAAAUUAAUAUAUGACUAUAUUGAGCUGCUCCAUGGAAUGCAAGUCAGAAAAACAUGGGCAGAUGAGAUGUUUCUCCCCCUUCUGGAUAGUACAUCAGAAAAUAAAAGCUUUUGUAUGCAAUGAAAAUCAUUUUACUAGUGCAAAUUUUGAAUUGUUUGAAAAAAAAAAGGGGCUUCUACUCUUCUGUUGGUCUUUACAUUGCUGUAUUGGGGGCUGUUUCUGUUUUAUGUUUAUUUAUAGAAGUAGACAUUUAAUGUCAAGAUAGAUAAACAUACAACUACUCCUCUGUUUUAGUUAAAAGAUAGCUCGGUUUAACGACUUCUAGAAGUUUCAUUCAACAAGUAUUAAAUUUUUAAUUGAUAACUGUUAAUAAAUUCAUCAACAAAUUAUUAAUAUAUAGUUCUUCAAAUGCAUCGAGAUUAGAGAUUUAGAAACUGUUAUAUGGAUCUAUGUUAUCAUGGAGUUUAGUUGGUCUGCCACAGUUUUUGUUUUCUUCACAGUUGUCACACUGCAACAGCUUAGAGAAGCUUUAAUAAUGGAAGUGUGUGUGUGUAUAUAUAUGUCCAAACCACAUACAGUAUGGAAAAAGAAAAAAGAAAAACAAUGAUGUCAAGACAUAGUACCAUAUAUCAUGUUAAUUUGAUUGAUCCCACCAUAUAUACUCCAUCAUUGGCCGACUAGGUAUAAAUCCCAUGAAAACCAAUAACAUUAUAAAUUAAUGCAUUGUUUGGGUGCUAAUUAAGAAAGGAUCAUAUUGGAAGUGCACGCAGGAAAAUGCAUGGGUGAUUAAUAUAUAUAAUUUGAUGAACAAAUCAAAGAUUGAUCAGUACUUAGAACAUGGAUGUGAGGCACGAGCUCGAAAUUUUGAUAUUUUGGAUUGGUGGAAGAUCAAUGAAGUAAAAUAUCCUAUUUUGGCAAAAGUUGCACAGGAUAUAAUGGCCAUUCCCGUUUCUACAGUUUCUUCUGAGUCAGCCUUCAGUGCAGGGGGUUGUGUGCUUGACCCAUUUCGUAGUUCACUAUCUCCAAGAACAGUCGAAGCACUUGUUUGUACACAAAAUUGGUUGAAGGAUCCAAUACCCAUUGAUCUUCGUGCUUGCUUGGAUAAUAUUGAAAGCUUUGAGGUGGAAUUGGAGUUUGGUCCAAAAUGAAGCUUUGCUUAUGAUAAUGAGAUUGAGGAGUAACUAAAAGCUUAUGGUAUGCAUGAAUGAUUCACUUGCAAAAUGGUGGAUUAAAAUGGAAUGUAAGUAGUAGCUUUGGAAACCCAAGGAUGAGUGGAGGUUUUUGAAUUAUAUGUGAUUCAAGAAAAUUUUGUUGCUGCCUUCUCAACAAAUUAUGGAAUUGGUUUUAAUGGUUUUAACAGCAAUUGUAUAUAAAAAGAUUUUUAUUUUGUAGUUUUUCUCUUGAUAGUUUUGUA